rnacentral:hammerhead_ribozyme from 1 species
GCAAUGCUGAGGAGUCCCACAAUAGGACGAAACGACCGUCCAAUGU